ACACCGGCAGCUCAAGUGGUGGCCGUUUUUAUUGGGCCUAAAGCGUUCGUAGCCGGCCUGAUAAGUCUCUGGUGAAAUCCCGCAGCUUAACUGUGGGAAUUGCUGGAGAUACUAUCAGGCUUGAGGUCGGGAGAGGUUAGAGGUACUCCCAGGGUAGGGGUGAACUCCUAUAAUCCUGGGAGGACCACCUGUGGCGAAGGCGUCUAACUGGAACGAACCUGACGGUGAGUAACGAAAGCCAGGGGCGCGAACCGGAUUAGAUAGCCGGGUAGUCCUGGCCGUAAACGAUGUGGACUUGGUGUUGGGAUGGCCUCGAGCUGCCCCAGUGCCGAAGGGAAGCGGUUAAGUCCACCGCCUGGGAAGUACGGUCGCAAGACUGAA
rnacentral:rRNA from 1 species